UCAAAUGGGGCCAAGGAAUUUCGAUGUUUCAGCUAGCAUUUCUACUGAAAAAGUCUCUGAACCGUCGUCGCUCGCCUGAUCCACCUCCAUCUCGUUCUCAAUCUCCUACAGAAAGACUUUGCGCCUGGUAGGCAGCCUAGAUGCUGAUCAUUCGUCACUGUAGUGGUUCUCGGCGAGAUUUUUUUUUCUUCCUUUCGGUUUUCGUUAGUCAAAGUCGAUUGUCUUUUAGUAAGCUUUUAAUCUUAAA